CCACCUCCACCAAAGGGCAUCACCCUCUACAAGAUUUCCUCCACCACCAGCGCCGAACCACCACCUCUCCAAUCUUUCCUAACAUGAUUUAUGUGGUUAUUUUCUGAUGGAUUCAUAAUAUUUGUUUUCCUCUAUUAUCUGAUUGACAUUCCUUUCCAACAUUGCAAGUAUGCAAUUGUUUGGAACAUGACUCUUGCUAGUGUGGAUCUGAAUAAAUUCUGCUAUGCGGACUUAUAGCAGCUUACAAGAACAAGGAAAUAGCUUCCAAGGUGGGCAACAAAGUGCAUCCAUGUGCUUAUACUAGUUUUCCAUUUUUAUUAUAUAUUUCAUCUUAUUUGAUUUUGUUUUUGUUACACAUCCCUCCCCUACACAACAUUUGAAGGAUUUUUGAUGAAAUUAUGUUGCUUAGGACCAAUUUGCCUAGUGGGGAAUUGGGUAUUGAUGAUGCACAACAUUUGAAGGAUUUUGAAGAAAUUAAGUUGCUUAGGACAAAUUUGCCUAGUUGAGAAUUGGGUAUUGAUGAGGGUGUUGGGUUUAGCAAGUGUGAAUGGGAAAAGAAAAUAGAGAAUAUGAAAAAUGAGGGAACUAAUUUGGAGGAAAAAUGAAAAGUCAUUUGCAAAGUACAAAUGAAAAGUCAUUUCUCCCAUAUCGGCAAAAGAAAGGGAAAUUGUUGUCCUUAUAUAAGGAAAAACUUCCAUUACUUCUUAAAGAGCUAAGAAGAAGAUGCCCCCUCGCGCCGUUGUCGUCGUCGCUUGGCUUCGGCUUUGGCAAAUGAUGUGAUUGAUAAAUUUUUUUGACAAAAUUUAUUUAAUCAGUUUUUGUUAAAUCAAAUAAAUCCUGUUAAUAUUAUCUCUUAUAAAUUUGCGGGUAACGGUAACAUUCUGAAAAGUUGUUACUCUUUCCAAAAAGUCGUUACUUUCCGAAAAGCCGUUAUUUUUUUGACAGACACAUUUUUCUGAAAAGUUGUUAUUUUUUUUUCAAAAGACACAACUUUCUGGUCUGAACAGAUUUCUCUGAACAGACACGUUUCUUGCUGAAAAUGGCUAUAAAAGGAAGUCAAUUUUCGAUAUUUCAAACACUGAAAUUUUCCUUCUCUACAUAAUUUUCUCUCAAAUAGAUCAAAGUGUCGAUUGACUGAGUCUGUGUGACUUGUUGUUCUGAAGUUCGCUAAAGUUAAAGAAAUUUGAGGUAUCGCUAUUUCUUUAACAGGUUUAAUUCGUUUUAUCUUGAGAGAAAUUAAUCCAUAACCUUGGGUACAGUGAGGGGGUUAAAUUUCUUAAGGACACACAGUAGUUUCUGUGGACUCGGAUUACUUCUUGUAUUUUAUGUAUUUUCUGCUUCAUCUUAUUUCUGUUUCUGUUUAUUGGUUAACCUUAUAAAUAUAGGUUAAUAUAACAAUCUUAAGAAAUUUAAAAGUUUCUGUAUUUGAGGUUUCUGGAGAUUAAAACCUUUAUGAUUUUCUACUCUGCUUGAAUUUUUAAAAAUUCAUUCGAUUAACGAUUAAAAGAACAUAAAAACUUUAUCGUUAAAUCAGAAACAGUUUGUGUAUAGAUUUGUUCUUUACUGUUAGUAUUUCAUAUACUUAACUUAUCUGUCAUUUGUGAUAGAAAAAAAUGACUAAUUCAAGUCAAACAAAUGCUGAAACAGUAAGUGCUGCAACAACAUCGAUUACACAUAAUCGUUCAAAUGCUUUCUUAGCGCCGACUGAGAAACCUGCAAAGUUUUCUUGAGUCGACUUUAAGAGAUGCCAGCAAAAGAUGUUCUUCUAUCUCACUACGUUGAGUCUGCAGAAGUUCAUUAAUGAGAAUGUUCCUGUUAUGUCAGAUGAAACUCCGCCUGAUGAAGGAUUCUUGGUAACAGAAGCAUGGACACACUCAAAUUUUUUGUGUAAAAAUUAUAUUCUGAGUGGCCUGUAAGAUGAUCUGUACAAUGUGUACAACAAUGUCAAAACCUCAAAAGAACUCUAGGAUGCUUUAGAAAAUAAGUACAAAACAGAAGAUGCCGGAAUGAAGAAAUUCACUGUGGUAAAAUUUCUGGACUAUAAGAUGAUAGACAGUAAGACCAUCGUCACCCAAGUUCAAGAAUUGCAGGUCAUGAUCCAUGAUCUCCUUGCUGAAGGUAUAAAUUUAUUUAAUGCCUAUGUUAGAAAUAUUAAGUUUUCCCUUAAUACUCACAUAAUCUUUAAUGUAGGAUUGAUUGUGAAUGAUGCCUUUCAAGUGGCUGCAAUUAUUGAAAAAUUACCUUAACUAUGGAAGGACUUCAAAAACUACUUUUUUUUUUGUUUAAUUACCCUUGGAGGGGUAGGGGCUGAGCAACACCCCCAGGCUUUACCAUUAAUAACAAAAAACAAAAUACACGGAGGGGGGCAUAAACCUAACCUCCAAUCCUAAGAUGGUUUGGAGUUGACUUUCAAGAAUGUCAACUCCACCCCUUACAAUGAAAGAUGAAACCAAAAUACUACAAACCUAAGGAGAGGACUCCUCUCAUUACAUAGUAUCUAGGAAGCAUAAAUUAGGGAGACUCUCCCUUUACAAGAAAGCCUAUCAACUAACUAACCUAUGUCCUAUUCAAAGUAGCUAUAUUAUUUACAUAUAGCUAAGUUGAAAAGGUACUAUAAUCAAGGAGGAUCAAAAAUCAUUUUGGUCUUCUUUCUUCUAAAGCUUGGCAUGUCCAUCAGAUCCAUUUGAUAGUAGGCAUGUGCUUCUUUUGGGAGUUGGUUGCUGUGGACGUAGACUUGAGGAGCUGUAUUGUUGUGGCUAUGUUUUGAAAGUGCGUCUGCGACCCAAUUUGCUUCUCUAAAGAUGUGGGAACAUCUGAAAUUCUGAGUUUGUAUGAUGAUUUGUUGAAGUCUUUCAAGCUGAUUGGUAAGAUUCCAAGGUGGUGCUAUUUUGUUUGAAAUCCAUUGCACCACUAAUUGGGAGUCUAACUCAAGUAAAAUGUUUUUGAAACCUAAUUCAAAAGCCCAAGUCAGUCCAAAGAGAGCAGCCUCAAUUUCAGCUUGGUUGUUCGAUCCUUCUCCAAGAGGUGUUGAGAAAGCCAUUAUCAUUUUGCCUUCUUUAUCUCGGAUGAUACCUCCAGCCCCAAUUUUUCCUUCAUUGGUGAGAGCACUUCCAUCUGUAUUAAUUUUGAUCCAUUGGUCUGGAGGCUUAAACCAUGCUACCUUGUACACUUCAAUGUUGUGAACACAUUUCUCGCUUGUUUGGAUCAAUGCUGUCCAGUUUGCAGGCCAGUUGAUACUUGGGAAGGCAUUUUUUAACAUCUUGAAGGUGUCCUUGUAAAUUGCAUACUUGACGCGGCUUCAAAAACUACUUGAAACACAAACGCAAGGAGAUGAUUGUUGAAAAUCUCAUAGUAAGGUUGAGAAUCGAAGAGGAUAAUAAGGCUACAAAAAAGAGGUCACGUGGUAAUUCAGCAAUAUCUGGAGUAAAUUUUGUUGAAGAAGAUCCCAUAAAAUUAAAGAAAAGAAAGAAAGCAUCUGGUCCAAAAAGCAAUCCUCCUAAGAAGAAAUUCAAUGGAAAUUGCUUCAACUGUGGUAAACAUGGUCAUAGGCUACUGAAUGUCGGGGUCCUAAGAAGGACAAGAAAAAGAAGGAUCAAGCAAACUUGGCUGAAUCCAAAGGAGAAAUGGACGAUCUCUGUGCAAUGCUUUCAGAAUGUUACUUGGUUGGAAACCCAAGAGAAUGGUGGAUAGAUUCUGGUUCCUCAUGUCAUGUUUGUGACAACAAAGAAUUAUUUUCAUCAUAUACUCCAGCACUUACAGAUGAAAAAUUGUUUAUGGCAAACUCCGCUGUUGCAAAGGUGGAAGGAACUAGCAAAGUCCUAUUAAAGAUAACAUCAGGCAAGGUGGUGACUUUAAAUAGGGUCUCAUAUGUUCCACAAUUGGAAAAGAAUUUAGUUUAAAUUCUAGUUCUGACCAAGAAUGAAUUUAAAUGUGUAUUUGUUUCUGAUAAAGUAGUAGUAAGCAAAAAUGAUAUGUAUGUAGGAAAAGGCUACCUUAGUGAUGACCUUUUCAAACUCAAUGUAAUUGCAGUUGAUAUGAAUAAAGAUUUUGCUUCUUCUUACUUGCUUGAGUCUAAAUGUUUAUGUCAUGAACGUUUGGGACACGUUAAUAACAAAAUCUUGCAAAAAGUGAUUAACUUAAAUAUUUUGCCAAAAUUUGAGCAAUAACCAAAAUGUCAAAUUUGCGUUGAAUCUAAGUAUGCUAAGCAUCCUUAUAAAUCUGAUGAAAGGAAUUCAAAUCCUUUAGAAUUGAUUCACACUGAUAUUUGUGACAUGAAGUUAACACCAUCACGUGGUGGGAAAAAGUAUUUCAUAACUUUUAUUGACGAUUGCAGUAGAUAUUGUUAUAUCUAUUUGCUAAAUGGUAAGGAUGAAGCAAUAGAUGCAUUUAGGCAAUAUAAAACUGAAGUUGAAAAUCAGUUAGAUAAAAAGAUCAAAAUGAUCAGAAGUGAUAGAGGUGGAGAAUAUGAGUCUCCAUUUGCAGAAUUAUGUUUAAAAAAUCGAAUAAUCCAUCAAACUGCUGCUCCCUACACUCCUCAGUCUAAUGGAAUUGCAGAAAGGAAAAAUCGAACUUUAAAAGAAAUGAUGAAUGCAUUACUUAUAAGUUCAGGUUUACCACAGAACUUGUGGGGGGAAGCUAUCCUUACAACAAAUCAAAUACUUAACAGAGUGCCUCACUCAAAGACAAAUGUAAUUCCAUAUGAGAAAUGAAAAGGUAGAAAACCCAACUUGAAAUAUUUCAAAGUGUGGGGGUGUCAAGCCAAAGUCCAAGUUUCUAUACCCAAGAGGGUAAAAAUAGGGCCUAAGACUGUGGAUUGUGUAUUCAUUAGAUAUGCCACAAACAGUAAGGCAUGUUAAUUUUUGGUUCAUAAGUCUGAACAUUUGUAUAUUCAUGAUAAUACAGUAAUGGAAUCAGAUAGUGCUGAAUUGUUUGAACAUAUCUAUCCAUAUACAACUAGACUUGAGUCAUCUAGUAGGGGGUCUAAACAACCCAGAGAAGAACCAAAAGAGAAUGAACCCAAUGAAGAAAGUCCAAGACGCAGUAAACGUCAAAGGACAUCUACUUCAUUUGGAUAUGAUUUUGUAACAUUUCUCUUGAAAGUGAGCCUCAAACAUUCAAGGAAGCAAUGUUAUCUAGCGACUCAACCUGUUGGAAGGAGGCUGUUAAUAGUGAAAUUGAAUCAAUCUUAAGCAAUCAUACUUGGGAGUUGGCUGAUCUUCCUCCAGGGAACAAACCCUUGGGUUCAAAAUGAAUCUUUAAAAGGAAGAUGAAAGAUGAUGGAACUAUUGACAAAUAUGAAGCACGAAUUGUUGUCAAAGGUUUUAGAAAAAAAGAAGGUCUUGAUUGUUUUGACACAUCCUCUCCAGUGACUAGGAUUACAUAAAUUCGGAUGUUAAUUGCACUAGCUGCAGUAUACAGUCUUGAAAUUCAUCAAAUGGAUGUGAAAACAACCUUCUUAAAUGGAGAGCUGGACAAGAAAUUUACAUAGAACAACCUGAGGGUUUUGUACUUUCUGGUAAAGAAAAGAAAGUGUGCAAACUUAUUAAGUCACUUUAUGGACUAAAACAAGCACCAAAACAAUGGCAUACAAAGUUUGAACAAACAAUGUUGUCAAAUGGAUUUAAGAUCAAUGAAUGUGAUAAAUGUGUUUACAUUAAAGAUACUCCAAAUCAAAAAGUCAUUUUAUGCCUAUAUGUAGAUGAGAUGCUUAUAAUGAGCAAAGACAUUGCUAAUAUAAAAUCUACAAAGCGUAUGCUCGCUAGUAAGUUUUGAUAUGAAAGAUCUAGGAGUUGCUGAUGUGAUAUUAGAAAUUAAAAUUCUUAAAACUCCUAAGGGUCUAGCAUUGUCUCAAACUCAGUAUAUUCAAAAGAUACUUGAAAAAUUCAAAUCUUUGAAUUUUAAAAGGGCAAAGAUUCCAAUUGAUGUAAACUUUCAUCUUGCAAAGUAUAAAGGUGAAAGUCAGUCUCAAUUGGACUAUGCUAGCGUAUUGGGAAGCUUAAUGUAUGUCAUGAAUUGUACACGACUAGACAUAGCUUGCUCUAUCAGUAAACUGAGUCGAUACACAAGUAAUCCUAAUCAAAGUCAUUGGUUGGCAAUGAAGAGAGUUUUGGGAUACUUAAAUGACACUUAAAACUAUGCUUUACAUUACAACAAAUAUCUAACCGUUCUUGAAGGAUAUAGUGAUGCAAAUUGGAUUACUGGGUCAACUGAAACAAAAUCCACAAGUGGAUACAUUUUUACUAUUGGUGGAGGAGCACUAUCUUGGAAAUCAUCCAAACAAACAUGUAUAGCUCGCUCAACAAUGGAGUCUAAAUUCAUUGCUUUAGACAAGGCAGGUGAAAAAGCUGAAUGACUCUGGAAUUUCUUAGAAGAUAUUCAAUUUUGGCCCAAAUCAAUGACCCCUAUAUGUAUACAAUGUGAUAGUCAAGCUGCAUAGGAAGAGCUGGAAGCAUUAUGUAUAACGGCAUGUCUCGUCACAUAAGACGAAGACAUAACUCUGUGAGACAACUACUCUCUAGUGGAAUUAUCACAAUUGACUAUGUGAAGUCAAAAGAUAAUGUGUCGGAUCCACUUACAAAAGGCCUAAAUAGAGAGAGAGUUGAGAAAUCAUCGACGAGAAAGGGUCUAUGGCCGAUAACAAGUCAUUGUGGCGGUAACUCUGCCUAGAAGACUUGAGAUCCCAAGAUCUAGGUUCAAGGAGAUAAAACAAAGUCAUUGAUGACGGUUCAACAUUGUCAAGAAAAAAUAUUAUUUUAUGGUUCAUUCUCAUGAUGAGACAAUGUUUAGUAACAAGGAUAAAGACAUAAGGACUUUUUAAUGGUUUCUAAGUUUGAUACAGGGAAUAUCAAAUGGUGUAUCUAUUGGAUAACACAUUUAUAAAUCACAUAUGUAAAUGUGAAGUGUAAGCCGCUUCAAGGAGAAUCCGGUAAGGUCAGUUCUUUAAGCACUUACUAUCCAAGAUGUGUUCAUAGCUGAAACGAACAAAACAAUGAGAACUAAGAACAGUUCAAGGGUUGAUUGUGUGACAUAUGUUGUCUAGGUAUACACCAAUGCUUGACGGUUCAAAGAUAUCAAAUCUACUGAUUGACCGAGCAUAUCCGAUAUAUGUUCACUACAAAAAUUUAAAAGGGAAACCUACUUAUCCAGAUGCGAUUAACUUUUACCUACAAGACACACAAGUUUUUUCAUGCAUAUGUUUUAACAAUAGCCUUCCUCAUUCAUGUGGGGGAUUGGUGGGUUUAGAAAGUGUGAAUGGAAAAAGAAAACAGAGAAUAUGAAAAAUGAGGGAACUAAUUUGGAGGUAAAAUGAAAAGUCAUUUGCAAAGUGAAAAUGAAAAGUCAUUUCUCCCAUAUCGGCAAAAGAAAGAGAAAUUGUUGUCCUUUCCAUUACUUCUUAAAGAGCUAAGAAAAAGAUGCCCCCUCGCGCCGUCGCUCGCUCGGCUUCGGCUUCGGAUUUGGAUUUGGCAAAUGAUGUGAUUGAUUGAUAAAAUUUUUGGACAAAAUUUAUUUAAUCAGUUUUUGUUAUAUCAAAUAAAUCCUGUUAAUAUUAUCUCUUAUAAAUUUGCGGGUAACGGUAACAUUCCGAAAAGUUGUUACUCUUUUCGAAAAAUCAUUACUUUCCGAAAAGCCGUUAUUUUUCUAACAGACACAUUUUUCCAAAAAGUUGUUAUUUUUUCCAAAAGACACAACUUUAUGGUCUGAACAGAUACGUUUCUUGCUGAAAAUGGCUAUAAAAAGAAGUCAAUUUUUUAUUUUUCAAACACUGAAAUUUUCCUUCUCUGCAUAUAUUUUUCUCUCAAAUAAAUCAAAGUGUGAUCGGGUGAGUCUGUGUGACUUGUUGUUGUUCUGAAGUUCGCUGAAGUUAAAGAAAUUUGAGGUACCGCUAUUUCUUUAACAGGUUUAAUCUGUUUUAUCUUGGGAGAAAUUAAUCCAUAACCUUGGGUACAGUGAGGGAUUAAAUUUCUUAAUGACACAUAGUAAUUUUUGUGGACUCUAAUUACUUCUUGUAUUUUAUAUAUUUUCUGCUUCAUAUUAUUUCUGUUUCUGUUUAUUGAUUAACCUUAUAAAUACAGGUUAAUAUAACAGCGGGUGCUUUGCUCAAGUGGAGAGGUGGCGAAGGAGGUUUUGGAGAAGGUUGUGGGCUUUGGUGGUAGUGGUGAUGGGAAAAAUAAAGUUGAUAAUGGUAAAAGAAAGGAAAUGGGUUAUAUUAUUAAGUUGGUCGGGUAGAGUUAAAAUUGAAUCAUUUAAGUGAAAUUGAAUAAUUUAAAUUGAUUUGGGGCUUUCCAUUCAACGAGGGGUAUAUUUGUUAAGUUUAUUGAUGGCAAGAACAAAAAAUAACUUGUUUUUAAUAGUAGAGGUAAAAUUAACAAAUAAAACAAAAUUAAGGGAUAAUUUUGACCCUUUUGCCUUUAAACAAUCAAUAGAGAAUUAAUUACCUUUUUUCAAUUUUAUCUUUUAACAUUACUUAUUCUAGCAAGGCAUGUAUAUAAAUAAAGAUUAGAGAAUUAAUAAAG
rnacentral:lncRNA from 1 species